UUGUCCAGUUCCAACUCCUACGCUCCACUGGGAGGGAGGUGUGACCAGGAGAACGAUUACUAUGAAGGCCACCUUCAUAUCUGCUGCUCAAAGUGUCCACCAGGUCAAUAUGCAUUACAGCGAUGUACCAGACAGUCCGAUACUCUGUGUGCCGUCUGCCGAGAGGGGGAGUUCACCGAGUUCUGGAAUUAUGUCCGCGAGUGUCAAAUUUGCCCCUCCUGUGAUCACCGGAGGGGGCUGGUAGUGAGGCAGAACUGCACGAGUCAACACAAAACCGAGUGUGAGUGUGCCCAGGGACAUCACUGCGUCGAAGGGCAGCGCUGCUCGGAGUGUGAGCGGCACACAGAAUGUCCUCCGGGGCAAGAAGAGGCACAACAAGGCUCUAACCUCGUCGACACUACUUGCCGGGAAUGCCCUCCCGGAACAUUUCGGAACAACAUUUCCCUGGAUAAAUGUCAAAAACACACAAAGUAA